AGAUUGUUAGAAUUUAUUUAUUGAUAAAACUUGAAUUAAACUCCAUAAAGGAGAAGAACAAACUCCAUAAAAAGAGAACAAAAUACACUCCAUAAUAGGAGGAAAUGACUUUCCAAUAAAAGAGGAAGAAUCACUCCAUAGAAGGAGGAAGAGAAGCCUCCAUGGAAAGAGGGAUUGGAAAACUACAAUCCAAUGAUCUAAAAAUGCCUACACGGUGCUGUAUUUAUAGUGUAAAAUGGCUAGAGUAAUUAACUAACUAAUUGACUGAUUAACAAGCUAAUCAUCAAACUAACUAACAGCCUAACAACUACAGCUGGAGAUUGAUGUUCUGUUAAGAUGAAAUCUGGAAUGAGCUGGAAGCUUUUGGAUUCUUGGCUGGAACUGAACUGAUGGAAGGAAUAUGCUGAUGUAUGGUGCAUGUGUAUUCCAACACACCCGUCAAGAUGGACUAGGAAGAUCAACAAUAGUCCAUCUUAAAGAUUAAAGAAAUGUACUGGAGAGGAAUGGCAAAAAUGGGAAUGAUGACUGAUUUGUAUCCCAGUGUAAGGCCAAGUAUGACAUUGGUAGCAGCAACAGCUCUGUAUGAAUCAGCAACAUCUAGCACGGGGCUGUAAGCAUUUUCAUAGUUUGACUAAUAUCAAAGCCUGACGUAGAUUCAACAUCUUUAUGAACACUUGAAGAUGUGUCCUCUCCAGGUAAAUUUUUGCUCGUAGCCUUUGAAAAACUUGGCCCUCAAUUUCGAUCACUCGAGAUGCCAAAUGCACCGGAAGAAGCAUUCAUCAUAUCCAAUCCGUUCAUCAAUCAUAAGACCAAACAGCUCAAUCACAUCAUUGAAUAGACCACAUCGAAGCAAAGAUGUCAUGAGUGAGUUUCAACACUCGAGAGCAGAAAUUGUAGUAACAUUAGAAUCUGAAUUGAUUCGGAUGUAUUUCUUCUGUGAAUCCAGGAGAUAGUGAAGAGAAAUUUUAUCAAGAAUGAGGUAGAUAGAUGAUUGAUAGGCUUAGAUCUUGAGAAAAUCUGGAAAUUACUCACUAAAUGAAGAUUAGAUCAAGCAACAGAUUUAUUGGAUCUGUGAAAAGAGAUGAAGACGUUCCUUCAGACACAUUGGUGGAUGAUCUGAACUUAUUUCUGAUUACAGGAACUGAAGUUCUACUGGAAAAGAAACUUUCCAGAAUUAUGCCAAAAAUAGAAGAAAUCAUAGAUCGGCCUUCAUUUGAGCAGAACACAGAAAAAAUGAGAUGAAUUAAAUCUUAGAAAAACCACAGAAGCAGGAAGCACUCAGCUCUGAUACCAUAUUAGAAUUUAUUGAUUGACAAAACAUAAAGGAGAAGAACAAACUCCAUAAAAGGAGAACAAAAUACACUCCGUAAUAGGAGAAAAUGACACUCCAAUAAAGGAGGAAGAAUCACUCCAUAGGAGGAGGAAGAGAAACCUCCAUGGAAGGAGGGAUUGGAAGAC
rnacentral:lncRNA from 1 species